rnacentral:rRNA from 1 species
UACGGGGGGAGCAAGCGUUGUUCGGAUUUACUGGGCGUAAAGGGCGCGUAGGCGGCGCAACAAGUCACUUGUGAAAUCUCCGGGCUUAACCCGGAGCGGCCAAGUGAUACUGUCGUGCUAGAGUGCGGAAGGGGCUACUGGAAUUCUCGGUGUAGCGGUGAAAUGCGUAGAUAUCGGGAGGAACACCUGCGGCGAAGGCGGCUUCCUGGACUGCAACUGACGCUGAGGCGCGAAAGCUAGGGGAGCAAACAGG